rnacentral:rRNA from 1 species
UGGGGAAUUUUGCGCAAUGGGCGAAAGCCCGACGCAGCAACGCCGCGUGAAGGAUGAAGGCUUUCGAGUCGUAAACUUCUGUCUGGGGGAAAGAUGAUGACGGUACCCCCAAAGCAAGCCCCGGCUAAUUCCGUGCCAGCAGCCGCGGUAAUACGGAAGGGGCGAGCGUUGUUCGGAAUUAUUGGGCGUAAAGGGCGUGUAGGCGGCUUCAUAUGUCCGUGGUGAAAGCAUACGGCUCAACCGUAUUAAGCCUUGGAAACUGUGGAGCUUGAGGCUGGGAGGGGCUGGUGGAAUUCCCUGUGUAGCGGUGAAAUGCGUAGAGAUGGGGGAGAACACUCGUGGCGAAGGCGGCCAGCUGGACCAGUACUGACGCUGAGACGCGAAAGCGUGGGGAGCAAACAGGAUUAGAUACCCUGGUAGUCCACGCCGUAAACGAUGGGCACGUAGGUGUCGGCGGUUCUUAA